AAAAACGCUUUUAAUCAUUUUACAAACGCAUCCAAACUAGCUCUGCCCACCGUUCAAAUAUCUCCUUUCCUUUCCUUCCGGAGUCCGCAGAAGCAUUCAUGAGUCGACUGUUGCAGAAGGUACCAUUAGCAUCUGUGUUUCAAAGCUUCACUGGAACUCAUGGACGUUCCGGUAGCCGAGUGUUUGAGAUGGUUCGGAACAAUGUCAUUGUGGGAUUGUCAUCCAGUAGAAAAUCGAUUUCUGGAUUUAGAACUUUUUGCACUGGCAAAGAUUUGUCAAUAAAGAAGUGUGUGUCUUGCGACUCAAAGGAUAUGCGACCCAUGACUGAACAAGCAGCAAAUGAAUUAAUCACAAAGGUGGACGGAUGGAAUUUGGUUCGUGAAGGUGAUGCCUUGAGACUGAAACGGUCAUGGAAAGUUAAGACCUUCACAAAAGGACUUGAAAUGUUUAAGCUCAUAGCUGAUCUUGCAGAAGCAGAAGGUCAUCAUCCAGAUCUUCAUCUAGUUGGAUGGAACAAUGUAACAGUCGAGAUAUGGACACAUGCGGUUGGUGGAUUGACCGAGAAUGACUUCAUACUUGCUGCUAAGAUCAAUGGAAUCAGCAUGCAACACCUACUGAGGCGGAAAGCUACCAAUUGAACCGUCAAAGCUGUGUGAGAAAAUGUUUCCAUGGAAAGACAUGUUUUCGGGUUUUGUUUGGCAUCGUCUUCGGUUUGAAGUGACGCAUUGUAGGAGAUUACCUGGUUUGAUACUGUUUUCUUUUUUCUUUUAGCAAGCGUGCCUGAAGGCAGAUACUCGAAGAUUAAGAUCCACUCGGAUCUCUGUGUCAGAAGCUCGCGGACCGAGAGAUCCGGACUACUUAAUUUCAUUCUUACGGCUCUCAUUAGCCUAUCCAAUUGGACUACUUAACAAAAAUUCAAACGCUGAAAUGGUCAGGAUCUCUUUAUCUCUUUCUUAAAUGGUCCGAUAUUUUAAUUCGCGAGCUCUGGACAAAGAAUCCAAAGUGGAUCUCAUUUUAUAUCUCGACUGUGACAUUUUUCCAUCCAACUAGACGAAGACGUGGAUGAUGACCAGAACCUACCCAUUAUGGUUUUGCAUCUACAUCAGACACAUUCUAUCUUAUUUAAUAUUUCAUUAGGUGGGAUACUAUUUUUUAUCAUCGCAGAAUAGUCAUUGUUAAGUCACAUUUUUUUAACUAUGGAUGAGUUCAAACGGUAAUUUAGCAUUGUACUCGCGAAUGUUUGAAGGUGCAGAAAA